GGCGCCCCUCGGCGUCACUAUAUCGACGAACUGGGACCUACAUUGAUUUCAAUGGGAAACUUUUGGCGUCAGAACACAGACGCGAAGGACAUGAGAUGAUCGCUAUGAAAUCACGUUCAGGAAGUCUCAUUCAGCACACAUCGCGAUAUUUGCCAUCAGUUUACGUGUGCUGCAGGUUGGCUGAGGAGACCUAAAGGAAGCCGUCAGUCCAGUCUUGUUUGUGGAGAGGUCUUCAUUUAGAAACAGGGAAGACAGAAAGCUGCGGAGGGAGACAUUUGCAGUGGUAGUGUUGAAGUGAACAUGAAAACCACAAGUGUGUGUUGAACUUUUCAUUACCUGACGGGAUGCACUUGUAGUGUGGUAAAAAUGUGAGUGUUUACAGAGAUUUAUUUUUAGUUUCAACUUUGCAUUUUAAAAUAAACUUCUAAAUGUCUGUUCAGUAUCUCCCUAUAACAGAUGUCAAUUUAAUUUGUGGUGCUUCUAAUUAAGUGAUAAAUAAGCAGUAGCAAAUGAUGUACAAAAUAAAUAUUCUUCUUUUUGCAUAAAACAUGCAACACUUUGUUUUACUACCAAAUUAUUUGUAAUAUCUAAUUAUUAUAAUUAUUAUUCAUUUUUAACUUACAUUGGAAAGUUUUCCGGUUCUCUCGCAAGAUCUCACGAUUUAUUCCAAAACAUGAUGCACGAUGGGAUACGCUAAGCCUCCUGAGCAGUAUUUAAAAUGGUGUGGAUUUAGUGUGCUUUAAGGGCACUGCAGUUUGGCAUCAUU